GUCCCAGAUUUUGGGACGAAUUUUUAAUUCGUCCCAGAUUUUGGGACGAAUUUUUAAUUCGUCCCUAAUUCUGGGACGAAUUCUGGAUUCGUCUCAAAAUUU